UCCUGCCUCAGACUCUGGAGUAUGCCAGCAUGGUUCAUGGAAGUGCUUUGAAAGCAACAUCCUUAGACAAGCUCAUACACAAUGCUUACCACCUCAUGGGCAAAGCUUUAUAGACAGUCACUGGAUAAUGUGAAAAGCAAGUGACCACACAUAAAAUUCCAAAGAACACUCAUUUCUCUGUGUUUCUCUUAUGCUUCCAGCUAUUUCAACUUAAGGCAAAGACCUGCCUUCCAACCUCAGGCUUAGCAUAAGGGCAUGUGGGCUACCAGCCCAUGCCAAGGCCAUGGGUAGCAGCAACAGGAGGCCAGCUAUCAGGUGCACACAGUAGAUCUACCUCCCCUCUCCAGCUCUCGGAGCAUGGGCCCACUGCAAAGAGCACAGGGGUCUGACAGAAAACACCCAAUCAGACAUGAUGUGUUUAAUGUCAACUCCCUGCUCAGGAAUGUGACUCCAGAUGUGAAAAUUUGAGAAACCUGUUUUAGCAUGGUUUGCUUUGUGUGGAGAUUGCCAGAAACUUUUCACAGUAGUGACUGAGGAUGGGCAUGUUCUCUGAAAUGGCUGAUGAACUGGGCUUGUCCCCAUUACUUCACAUUAUCAUUUCAAAGGUUCUUCAUGUUUAUUUCUGGUUGAACACCCUCUUGGGCUGCCCCUCCCCAAAUGUCAUCUUGAAUCUUUCUGCCCUACAAAGGCUCUGAGGAAACACAUCCUUAAAUGCCUCAGGAGCCCUGUUAGAGUUCUGAGCUGUAAACAGCACUUGUGAGUGAGCUGGCUGGAGCCUGUGCUUGCUUUCCUGGAAGGCAGUGCACCUCUCAAGUCCCUCUCCAGGCUCUCCUUGUGGGCCUCUGGCGGUCUCCCAUGAUGCAGGAAGAAGUGACUCUGAAAAUCCUGUUUUGUUUUGUUUUGUUUUUUUUCCCAGAAGUAGGAAGAUCUGAAACAGGCCUGGCAGCUCGAUCAGUGUUGGCUGCCUCUGCCAACAAUAUGUAAAAUGUGUUUUUCAAGGAUAAGAAGCUUGGGCCCCAGGCCAAAGCUCAUGUCUGCCAUCAGCAAGAAGAUACAUGAUCUCUGUGACCCCGCUAAGCUGUUUACCUUUGUGCUUAAACAGGAAUCAAUGCCUUCCUCAGUCCCAGGGCUGCUCUCCCUUUAACAGAAGCCCACUGCCGGGUGGGUGUGACUGUGCCCGUUUCCAGUGAGGCGGUUCCAACGAGGUCAGAAGAAUCUGUGCAUGCCUGAGGUGUCCCUGGGCAAGAGCGAUCUGGUAGAACACGAGUCAGCACAGCAGUGCUCAAAGCGUUAAAGCAUGAAAGGAGGCAGAGCUGCAGCAAGGCCAGUGGCUUCCCUCAUCACUGCCUCAUUCCCUCCCACCCCCAACCCCCACCCUCACUCCCUGUCUCCUAGGGAAAUGAUGCUCUCUGGUAACUAAGCCUGAGAUCCUAACUCCUUGCCUAACAGUGUGAGGAAGUGUUCAGGGGGAGCUGGGAUGAGCUUCUACUUGGUCCCACAACACCCAAAGGCCUGGCUAAAAUAGAGACCUAGAGGGAUAAGUCUCAUCAAUCAGCUCCUCAAACUGGGGCUGGUCGUGUUCGCCUCGGUCCCUGGUUCCACCCACGUGCGUGGAGUUCCUGCGCACCGCACAUGAGAAAGACUCGGCUCCCUCCUGGGGAGACCUCAGUCCAGCUAGGAGGAGCAAGUCAGCCUUUGAUGUGGGUCUGCUGGGGGGCCACAGAUACGAGAUCCCAGAGCUGGUGAAGAAAGCUGGCGAGGGAUAGGCGAGCGUGAGCUGGACACUGCUGACCCCUGGGCUUCAGGAGUAGAGUUGGGCAGUAAGUUGACAGCCUCCGGUCUGGAAUCCCGCCCACUGGGCGAGGCGAGCAAGCCUGCUGGAAUUCCGGGUUUGUUUCCAGCAGAGACCCGAAAUGGAUUCUGGUUGUUGCUUCUUGGUGUUUUCCUGGGAUGGUGAGCACUUCAGCCAGCCCCACCUCAGGAAAUGUUCCCCAGCAUCCCCCCACCUCCGCCCGGAAGCCCUCUUCUCAUUCCUUGCUACACAAUGUCCAACUGAAUGUACCUCCUCCUACGGUAGGGCAUCACUUCUUCCUCUCAGGCUCAAUGACUCAUUGUUUUGUGAAAUCGUAAGAGGCUCCGCCUCAUCCAUUUGUUCGCCCCUCUCCAUAUGCUUUAUUCAUUCCAAGAAAAAUAUUUGUUUUUCUGAUGAAAACUUGAGGCUCACUGGCUUCCUCCUCCUGGGACUCCCACAGCCCUUUGCUCUCUGCCAUAGCUUAAGAAUUCAGCCCUAGGAUCCGUCUGUUGACUUGUCUGUCUCCUCCUUAGGCACUGAGCAGAUUCUGUAGGGUGGGGCUUGCUUCUGCUGAUAUGAAGACUUCAGUCAACACCAUAAGUCUGUAAAUGUUGUCAUUCAGACAACCAUCUUUAACCUGUGUGAUCCAAAGUCUCUUAUUUAUUUAUUUAUUUAUUUAUUUAUUUAUUUAUUUAUUUAUUUAUUAUUUGUUAUUUUUUAGAAUGGGUCUUACGUUGUCAUUCUGGGUGGCCUAGAUUUCGAUAUUUAGAUUCAGCUGGCCUCAAACUCAGAGAGAUCUGCCUGCCUCUGCCUCCUGAGUGCUGGGAUUAAAAGUGUGUGCCCUCAAAUAUCUUAUUUAGAUUUCAUCUAUCUUAUUAAAUUGUGGUGUUAGAUAACCUGGGCUCAGAAAACAGCAUUAAACUGCUAUUAUUCUCGCUGCUAUUAUUUCUUCUUACUCAGGGAUCUCUGUCUCCUGGAAACAACCAUGAGACAAUAGACUGACUUCUCCACCUGCAGUCAGGCAAAGACCUUCCCGGGGUGGCAUGGUGCCCUGUAGGCAGAGGAAUUGCCAGGAGGGCUGAAUGGCUGCAGCACAUGAUUGGCCGGGAUGGAUCCAGCAAUUUCACACUCACUGAGUCGGUCUCCCUUAGCCGCCCCAUGUAGCGAAGCGUCCCUGUGAACUUCUGUGCGUUUCACUUCUAGCACGUGUUUUCAUGUGUCUGUUGUCUGUAUUUCCCCGUAUGAUGGCUAAGUCCAUCAGAGACUGCAGCAAUUCCCUACUUAGAACAGAAUUCAGCAAAGCAGGUGAACCAUCAGGACAGACAAGCGUGGCUUGCACCUGGCCACAGACCAUGUUGGCCCUGGUUGGUGCAUGGGCCAAUCCUGGAAAGUACAGGAGUUCUUUGGGGUACUAAGAGGUCAGCCAUGUUGGUGAAUGGACCAUGAGAGUUUGGCAGAUAGGGCGGGUGGUUGGGGUAAAAUGGUUGGGAAAAAUGAUGCAAUCUGUGUGGGUCAUCAGAGCAGAGAAUUCAUGUGAAAGCCAUGAAGAGUGCUGGGUAAGGGCUGGCGAGAUGGCUCGCCAGGCAGGUGGGCUUGGUGCCAACCUGAAAACUUGAGAUCAGUCCCUGGAAAUCAAAUGGUUUAAAGAAGAGAACGGAUUCCCACAAGUGGACCUGAUGUCCACACAUACACAUAAGCUAUGUAUGCGCAUAGAUAUGUGUGUAUAUAUGUAUGAAUAUUAAAGGAUGCUUACUGACAAGGCUUGAUUGAUAGCGUGUGGGACACAGUGAAAGGGGGUCACAGGUGGCCUAGCAGAAAAUGGGAACAUGAUUGGAGGCAGGAUGUGUAAUAGGGAAAACUUUUGGCUCAGUACUCCCGUAAAGGUAUGAAAACCAUUCUCUUAUAAGCAUUGCUUGACACAAACCCAAGGAAAAGAGAUUCAUGACUGGAGCCAGGGCCUGAGUGUGCAUCACCGGAAGUCUAUGUCAGUCCCACAGUUACAGAACCCCAAAGAGAAGGUUAUGGGGCACUGGCUGUCAUUUCCGUGGUCAGCUGCUGUGAUGAUUUGAAUGAAAAUGCUCCCUUAGGCCCAUAGGGACCGGCACUGUCAGGAGGCGUGGCUUUCCGGAGUGGAGGCGGCCUUGUUGGAGGAAGCAGGUUAUGGGGGUGGGCUUUGAGGUCUCAGAAGCUAACGCCUGCCUAGUGCCUCACAGAUCUCUUCCUGCUGCCUGUGGAUCCAUAUAUAGAACUCUCAGCUACCUCUCCAGCACCAUGUCUGCC